rnacentral:rRNA from 1 species
GACGAACGCUGGCGGCGUGCUUAACACAUGCAAGUCGAACGGAAAGGCCCUGCUUUUGUGGGGUGCUCGAGGGGCGAACGGGUGAGUAACACGUGAGUAACCUGCCCUUGACUUAGGGAUAACUUCAGGAAACUGGGGAUAAUACAGGAUAGGAGCUCCUGCUGCAUGGUGGGGGUUGGAAAGUUUCGGCGGGUGGGGAUUGACUCGCGGCUUAUCAGCUUGUUGGUGGGGUAGGGGCUUACCAGGGCUUGGACGGGUAGCCGGCCUGGGAGGGGGACCGGCCACAUUGGGACUGAGAUACGGCCCAGACUCCUACGGGAGGCAGCGGUGGGGAAUAUUGCACAAUGGGCGGGAGCCUGAUGCAGCAACGCCGCGUGCGGGAUGACGGCCUUCGGGUUGUAAACCGCUUUCGCCUGUGACGAAGCGUGAGUGACGGUAAUGGGUAAAGAAGCACCGGCUAACUACGUG